rnacentral:rRNA from 1 species
UACGUAGGGGGCAAGCGUUAUCCGGAUUUACUGGGUGUAAAGGGAGCGUAGGCGGUGAUGCAAGUCAGAAGUGAAAGCCCGCAGCUCAACUGCGGGACUGCUUUUGAAACUGUAUGACUAGAUUGCAGGAGAGGUAAGUGGAAUUCCUAGUGUAGCGGUGAAAUGCGUAGAUGUUAGGAGGAACACCAGGGGCGAAGGCGGCUUACUGGACUGUAAAUGACGCUGAGGCUCGAAAGCGUGGGGAGCAAACAGG